GGGAUAUUGCACAAUGGGGGGAACCCUGAUGCAGCGACGCCGCGUGGGUGAAGAAGCGCCUCGGCGCGUAAAGCCCUGUCAGCAGGGAAGAAAAUGACGGUACCUGAAGAAGAAGCCCCGGCUAACUACUUGCCAGCAGCCGCGGUAAUACGUAGGGGGCAAGCGUUAUCCGGAUUUACUGGGUGUAAAGGGAGCGUCGACGGUGAAGCAAGUCUGAAGUGAAAGGCGGGGGCUCAACCCCCGGACUGCUUUGGAAACUGUUUGACUGGAGUGCAGGAGAGGUAAGUGGAAUUCCUAGUGUAGCGGUGAAAUGCGUAGAUAUUAGGAGGAACCCCAGUGGCGAAGGCGGCUUACUGGACUGUAACUGACGUUGAGGCUCGAAAGCGUGGGGAGCAAACA
rnacentral:rRNA from 1 species